CUCCCUGGCGGCGAGUGGCGGACGGGUGAGUAACGCGUAGGAAUCUGCCCAGUAGUGGGGGACAACCCCGGGAAACCGGGGCUAAUACCGCAUACGCUCUACGGGGGAAAGCGGGGGAUCUUCGGACCUCGCGCUAUUGGAUGAGCCUACGUCCGAUUAGCUUGUUGGUGGGGUAAAGGCCUACCAAGGCGACGAUCGGUAGCUGGUCUGAGAGGACGAUCAGCCACACUGGGACUGAGACACGGCCCAG
rnacentral:rRNA from 1 species